UUACAGGCCCUCCCCUCCUGCUAUUUAGUCCCAGGGCUCAGGGCCCCCUGGCAACACUCCACUUGGGCCUCUCAAAAACACUCAGGGAGGCUCCAUCCACCACGGACACCAAAAAAAGAUAGAGCUUCCAAUUAAUUCACCAAAUCAAACCUUUUACCUUUGAACGCGGUCUACAGGCCCACACACAGGGAAACUACAAGAUGAUGAAGAUGACGAUUUGCACCACAUUUAACCCCUCCAAGCCAUUCUAUACCGUCACUGAGACGCACACCUAUUCCUGCAAGUAUAAGCGUCAGCGUCAGCGCCAAGGCCAGGGUCCGAGCCCGAGCCCGACCCAGACCCAGACCCAGACCCAGAGCCAGAGCCAGAGCCAGAGCCAGAGCCCGUGCCCAGACCCGUGCAUAUGCCCAUGCCCGUGUCCUUACCCAUGCCCGUGCCCUAACCCUUGCCCGUGCCUGUGCCUGUGCCCAAACCUGUGCCCAAGCCCGUGCUUAAGUCUGUGCACAAGCCCGUGUGAGAGCCCGUGUGCGAGCCCAUGUGCGAGCCCGUGUGCAAGCCCAUGUGCGAGCCCGUGCCCGAGCCCAACCCCGAGCCUGUGCCCGAGUCCAGGCCCAAGCCUAGGGCCCAGCCUCAGCCCAAGCCCAAGCCCCAGCCCGUGCCCAUGCCCGUGCCCGUGCCCAUGCCCACCUCGACAAAUCUGCGUCAACACCUACGAAUGCGACAGCAGAGGAAGCAAAGGCAGCAAAUUCAGCAGCAGCAGAUGCACCAAAUGCUCGUGCAGCUGCUUGUCCCAGUCAGUCCGAAUGCCCAACAAACAACGGCACAGAACCAAGGAUGUCUAUGUGGUCUCGCGCCCACACUCCCACUGACUGGGAGAGCUGGCUCUCCUUGGCACACCUGUGUACCCAAGAAAAGACUCUGGCGGAACACACUGGGCGUGGUCGGCCAAGUCUUGGGAUCUGGCAAGAUAGGAAGAAUUUCUAAGACUUUGUAAACAGCUGGCCUGUGAUGAGUUACAGUUGGUUCUUCUGGCAAACAAAAGAAGAAAUAAGCUGUGGAGAUAUGGGGUAUUAAGGGAAAAGACCAAUCUGGCAGCAAUGGAAGGAUUUCAAAAGAGUAUUCAGGAAUGAGAAGAGGAAUCUGGCAGCAAUGGAAAGAAUUCAAAAAGAGUAUUCAGGGAUGAGAAGAUAAAUCUGGCAGCAAUGGAAGGAUUUCAAAAGAAGAAGUAAGGAAGAGGACUUUGGGAUCCCCAAGUGUGUGCUCCUGCCCUCCAUCCCUUUGGGAUAUUCCUGUAGGAGGAGCCUGUAAGACAAAUGUUCAUCAGAUUGGAAGCUUUCCCUGGGGCCUGAAGAGGUGGUGAUAAAAAAGGCCAGUCCCCUGAAAAUGACAACAUAUCUAAACAAAAAAGAGAUUCAAACUCCACGGAUGGAUAAUUGGAAGAAGAGAAACAGAAAAAAAUACAACAAACCAACCAGAAAACUGUUCUCAAAACAAAGGCCUUGGAAAACAGCAGAAA